GGGCCAGCUAAUGUAGUUUUGGCAGAGUGGUCUGGAAGGGUUUCCAGGAGGAGGUGACAGUUAAGCAGAGACCUAAAGGAAGAGCAGGAGGUAACCAAGUGAAGAAUAAAAAGAGUCUCCAGGAGAGGUGACACUGGGAGGGCAGGAGUUUCUGCCCCUGUGGCGUUGACAGUGAUGUGGGAAGACAGGACUCCUCCCUUCCCUCACUCAGCAGUGCUAACAGGGCCCAGGAUGGCCUCACCCUGGGCUGGGCCUGGGAUCUGGAAGUGAGAUCGCCUGGGCCCCUUCCCCCAGGAGCUCCUGAUUCACUAGGGGAGGCAGGUGUGUGGUGUAAGAAGAGCACCGCAUGGAGGAGGCGGUCUGGAGGAGAGCAGGGGUGCGGUGGGUGCUCCAGGGAGGAGGCUAAGUCUGCACUCAGCCUUGACAAGAGGCACUCACUGGGAAAAAUGAAGCCACAGGUUCCGGAUCGUCAGGGCUGGUGCCUCGCAUCCUCCAUCCUCAUAACUCCCAGUGUGUGGGUGUCCUGAACUGUGUCCUCCUGACCACCCCUCACUCCUGGAGAAGCCUCCACACCAGCCCUCCUUGGUCAGGGUCAGCCUGUCCUCUCUCCUUGUGCUCCCGCGGAGGUGUAGGAAGAUGUCCGUUCCGGAUGCUGAUGAAGAGGAAGGAGCGGUUCUGACUUUACAGACGAGGA
rnacentral:lncRNA from 10 species